rnacentral:rRNA from 1 species
CCCUUAGAUGUUCUGGGCGGCCCGCGCACUACAUUGGCACUAGCAAAGAGAUCCUAGAUUGAAUUCUUUGGGGUAUUCUUCUAAAUGGUGUCGUGACUGGGAUAAAUCCUUGUAAUUAUUGGUUUUGAACGAGGAAUUCCUUGUAAUCGCGGUUUAUCAGCUCGCGGUGAAUGCGUCCCUGCCCUUUGUACACACCGCCCGUCGCUCCUACCGAUGGAUCGUCCGGUGAAGCUCACGGAGUGACUGUUCACGCAACGGUUUACGAAGUGAAAUGGACCUCACGAUUUAGAGGAAGGAGAAGUCGUAACA